GUGUCAGCAGCCGCGGUAAUACAGGGGGGGCAAGCGUUGUUCGGAAUUACUGGGCGUAAAGGGUUCGUAGGUGGCCAACUAAGUCAGAUGUGAAAUCCCUCAGCUUAACUGGGGAACUGCUUCUGAUACUGGUUGGCUUGAGUGCAGGAGAGGAAUGCGGAAUUCCAGGUGUAGCGGUGAAAUGCGUAGAUAUCUGGAGGAACACCGGUGGCGAAGGCGGCAUUCUGGACUGUAACUGACACUGAGGAACGAAAGCCAGGGGAGCAAACGGGAUUAGAUACCCCUGUAGUCC
rnacentral:rRNA from 1 species